UCCGGGCGCGCGCGAGGCUGGGAGCCCGGAGGGGGUAGGGAAUCGGGGAGGAGCUGAAGGAGAAACGAGAUGCUUGAACACCGGAAGGCCGGCGAGACCCUCCAGAGAAGUCCCUCGGGAGCGCAGCGGGCCGAACUACUCCCCAGGCACACGCUCAGACAAACGCGAGCUCUGAACGUGGUCAGCUUCGCAGACACACAGCCGCAGUAGAGCACCCACCGCAGUUCAGCAGAUUUUGCGCGGGAAGAACACCUUCUGUUUCUGCCCGAGGGGCUCCAACAUGGCAACCUCGUACCCACAAACUCUAGUACACACCGAUACGCAGACACAACAUCCUUGUUUGUAUGUGGUGCUGAGGAUCGAACCCGGGCCGCACACAUGCCAGGCGAGCGCGCUACCGCUUGAGCCACAUCCCCAGCCCCUUCACUUCCUUUUAGUGUUUCCAAGUCCGCUUAGUUUUUACAAACCUUCGCAAGGCUCCCUGUCCCUUCUUCGGCCUCACCCUCAAAAAGGGCUCCGACAGGAAUGCUCUUGAUUGCCCACUGCCAAAUUUAAAUUUCUUCCAGCGACUGCUCCAUCCUGGCAAGAAACGUAUAGGUUGUUUCUCCUGUUUCACACUAAUCUACUUUGCUCCUUUGCCCGUCUGGCGAGUCUUUUUCGCGUAUUCUGGAGCCACCUGCUUCCCCACUCUCUCCUGGCUGUUAGGUCCCUUUCAUCCUCGCUGGCCCAAUUUAAGCACAGGACUCCAUCUGAAUAAACGAAAAUUUGCAGAACACCUA